rnacentral:rRNA from 1 species
UACGGAGGGGGCUAGCGUUGUUCGGAAUUACUGGGCGUAAAGCGCACGUAGGCGGCUUUGUAAGUUAGAGGUGAAAGCCCGGGGCUCAACUCCGGAAUUGCCUUUAAGACUGCCUCGCUAGAAUUGUGGAGAGGUAAGUGGAAUUCCGAGUGUAGAGGUGAAAUUCGUAGAUAUUCGGAAGAACACCAGUGGCGAAGGCGACUUACUGGACACAUAUUGACGCUGAGGUGCGAAAGCGUGGGGAGCAAACAGG